rnacentral:rRNA from 1 species
UCAGCGGCAGACGGGUGAGUAACACGUAGAUAACCUAGCCUCAAGACGGGGAUAACCGGUGGAAACAGCGGCUAAUACCCGAUGGGCUCACGUGAUCGGGAGGUCAAGUGAGGAAAGGCUGCGGUGCUUGAGGAGGGUGUCUGCGGCCCAUCAUCUAGUUGGUGAGGUAACGGCUCACCAAGGCGAAGACGGGUAGGGGGUGUGAGAGCACGACCCCCCACAAUGGGACUGCGACACGGUCCAUACUCCUACGGGAGGCAGCAGCAGGGAAUAUUGCGCAAUUGGACGGAAGUCAGACGCAGCGACGCCGCGUGGGUGAGGAACUGCCUUCGGGUUGUAAAGCCCUUUUCUGGAGGGCGAGGCUGGACGGUACUCCAGGAAUAAGCGUCGGCUAACUACGUGCCAGCAGCCGUGGUAAGACGUAGGACGCAAGCGUUAUCCGGAUUUACUGGGCGUAAAGCGCCUGUAGGCGGCGGGAUAAGUCGGAUGUGAAAGCCCCGUGCUCAACGCGGGGAAGCCAUUCGAUACUGUCUGGCUAGAGAGCGGGAGAGGGAAACGGAAUUUCUGGUGUAGCGGUACAAUGCGCAGAGAUCAGAAGGAACACCGAUGGCGAAGGCAGUUUCCUAGGCCGUAUCUGACGCUGAGAGGCGAAAGCUAGGGGAGCGAACAGGAUUAGAGACCCUGGUAGUCCUAGCUGUAAACGCUGGAUGCUAGGUGUGGGCCAGAGCGGUCCGUGCCGGAGUUAACGCGAUAAGCAUCCCGCCUGGGGAGUACGGCCGCAAGGCUAAAACUCACACGAAUUGACGGGGACCCGCACAAGCAGCGGAGCGUGUGGUUUAAUUCGAUGCUACACGCAGAACCUUACCUGGGCUUGACAUGUAGGUGGUAGUGAAGUGAAAGCGGAGCGACCCUUCGGGGAGCCUACACAGGUGCUGCAUGGCUGUCGUCAGCUCGUGCCGUGAGGUGUCGGGUUAAGUCCCGUAACGAGCGCAACCCUUGUCCUUAGUUACAAGUGUCUAAGGAGACUGCCGGUGACAAACCGGAGGAAGGUGGGGAUGACGUCAAGUCAGCAUGGCCCUUAUGUCCAGGGCGACACACACGCUACAAUGGUCGGUACAAAGGGCAGCGCAGCCGCGAGGUGAAGCGAAUCCCAACAAAGCCGAUCACAGUUCGGAUUGCAGGCUGCAACCCGCCUGCAUGAAGCCGGAGUUGCUAGUAACCGCGCGUCAGCCAUAGUGCGGUGAAUACGUUCCCGGGUCUUGUACACACCGCCCGUCACGUCAUGGG